AUGAGUUCUCUUACUGGUCCUUCAUCUGAGCAUGUCUUUAUUUCUCCUUCAUAUUAUCUCUGGAUAUGUGAUUCUUAACUGACAGUUCUUUUCUUUCAGAAAUUGAAAAAUGUUGUGUCACUUCCUUGAUGAGAGAUGAGAAAUCUACUGUCAUUUGAACUGUUUUCCCCGAUAGACUUAUUCUCAGUUCAUGCCUCAUGACCAGAAUUGAUUGAUCGCCUCCCAAGUGAAGAGCCUCUGCCUGCACGUCUUACUGCACCCACUUCCUCUCUCAGCACUGCUCCCCCAAAUGCUGGUCUGUCUCUGGUAGGUUCUGGCUCUGCCCCUCCCCACCUCAGUGCUCUGUUUCUCUGUCUCUCAAAACAAAUAAACUUUAAAAAGUUACAUAUAA